GUCUAUUUAUUGACGGCUGAGGUCAGGUGUGAUGGACAGCUCUAUUACGACAGAAAGUCCAUGUGACACUUACAUUCUAAAUGGAGGAGUGAGAAGUUUCACCUUCUAUCACCUCACAGUGACACAGAGCUGCUUAGUGCUGACUCUCACCACGACAGUCUUUUGAUCACUUUAAAGCAUGCCCUUUAACCCACAGCUCUGUCGUCAACUCCAUAUUAUACAUGAUCUAAAACAAGAGAUUUUGUUCAUACAUCAAAGAGCACACAGGUCAAAGGACAGUGCCAACAUGAUGGAUGCAGUAUGUCUGGGAAUUUAUUUAUACUGCCUUACGGAGCUCUGCACAUGACAUGCAGGGGCAAAAAAAAUACCUCAGAAGAUCUUGACCUCAAAUUAAGAAUCUGUCCCUACAACUUAAUAAUUUAUUUCCCCAUUUAGUUGAAUCAUGGUUACUAUUUAACUGAAUUAAACAUUGGAAUGAAUUAUGGUGCUUUUCCACUGCGUGGUAUGACUCAGCUCGGCAUGGCUCAGUAUGGUACGGUACAGCUUGGCUCGGCAAGUUUUGUGUUUCCACUGCAGUUUAGUAUCGCUCUAGAGAGGGCGGAAUUAUUCACGUUGUCAUAGUUGCACCGCCUCUACUGCCAUGACUCCUAAAAAAACUUUUUUAUUCCGUGUCGCCCCAUCAAGAUCUCGCUGGAUCCGCUCCUCUGCUAUCAGCGAGAGGAAAGUCUGUACUUCCGCAACAGACAAGAAACUUUUUGGUUGAAAAGGUGCACUCGUUCAAAACAGUUGCAUUCGAUCGUUGGCUGGUUGUGAUGAUUUAAAUCUAGCAGUUCUUUUGUGUUUGUGUCACAAGUUUGUGUUUCUGUUCAGUGACGCAGGUAGUGACAAUUCUCUCCGGUCAAUCUGUGAUCAGCAGAGUUUACAUCACGUUUUGGUAAUGGUAUGGUUCACUUGGAACCUCAGCUGAGGUGGUACUAAAAAAAGUACCAGGUACAGUACCCAGUGGAAAACCCCCCAAAAGUGAACCAUACCGAGCCGUACCGUGCCGUACCAUGCAGUGGAAAAGUGCCAUUACUACAACAUUGUUACGACUUACCUAAAUGAAAAAGAGGGAACAAUUUGCAGGACCCUGUACUGAUUACCUGAAUAAGGCAUGAGAUACUUUGGCUGAUAUUUUGGGUAUUUUCAGUGUGUGAGCACCUCUGACCUCCAUGAUCUCCAGUAUGUAGGUGGCGAUUCAUGGGGUGAGACAGCUGCUGCCUCUCUCCCUCUGUGUGUGUGUUUAUUUCUUUAUUGCGAACCUACAUAUACAAUUGUAGCAUUCCAGCCCUACCACAGAAACACACACAUAGAUGGACAAACACAUCCAUCUAAACUAGAAAUAAGUGGGUGGUAAUGGUGACUUGAUGUUGACCUGAAUGUGACCCUCAGUCACUCUCUCCUCCCUAAACUGGGCUCAUUUGAAUGGAAUGCUCACACCCAAUGUUCCCACGUAUCUGCAGCAGAUAACAGUUUUAUCUCUUCCAGUGCAACACACACACACACACACACACACACACACACACACACUACAUCAACACCUGUUCAAUCGAAUGUGCCAUGCUAAAAUGAGACACCUCUGACCAACACAAGUGAUAGAGCUUAAACAAAUUCACACACAAAUUGCAGGUAAGAGUUUCUGUGUGUGUGUUUAGUAGGGUCUCCUCUUGCCCUCAGUAUCUUAACAUCCUCAAAAAGCAUUUUUGUUAAUAAAUUUUAAAGAUAAGUAUGGUUCA
ensembl:lncRNA